GGGGGUGUAGCUCAGCUGGGAGAGCGUCGCGUUCGCAAUGCGAAGGCCGGGGGUUCGAGUCCCCCCAUCUCCACCA
rnacentral:tRNA from 1 species